rnacentral:rRNA from 1 species
AUGACCCAGGAUUUUUCUUUAAAUGCAAGACAGAUGCGGAAGGCAGGACAGAAAACUUGUUUUGGGUGGAUGGUGCGGCAAGGAAAGCAUACGCGGAGGCUUAUCAUGAUUGCGUGUCAUUUGAUGCAACUUACCUCACGAACAUGUACAAUAUGUGUCCCCUUCAUUGGAAUCAACAGACAUGGGCAGUCAAUAAUGCUCGGGUGUGGAUUUGUCCGGCAGGAACUAGCCUCAAGUUAUGACUGGUUAUUUGAUGCUUUCCUAGAAGCAAUGGAUGGUUUGGCUCCGGACAACAUCAUCACGGACCAAGAUGUUGCUAUGGCACAAUCUAUCAAGAGGAAGUUCCCGGCAACGAUUCACCGUUGCUGCCGUUGGCAUAUAAUGAAGAAAGCACAAGAGAAGCUUGGCCCCGUGUUGGCUAGGAACCCGGAUUUGGUAAAAGACUUCAAUGAAUGCAUUGACUUCAGUUUCACCCCGGCUGAGUUUGAAAGGAAAUGGGCUGCACUUCAAUUGAAAUAUGAAGGUCUUAUGGAUGGUCACUUUGAGAAACUCUAUGAAGAUCGGGCUACAUGGGUGCCGUGUUACUUCAAAUUCAGGUUCUUCCCUUUCCUUCAGUCAACGCAAUGCAACGAAGGGUUCAAUGCUGUGUUGAAGCGCUAUGUGAACCCACACAAGUCAAUUCUCAACUUCGUCAAGCAAUAUGAGAAAAUUCAGGUACACAUACUCGUGAGGGAGGGCGGGAACGACUACCGGACAGAACAUCUAGAGGCACAAAGAUGGUCGCGUUUCCCCAUUGAGAGGCAUGCCUACAAAGCAUACACUAGGGACAUCUAUGUGAAGUUUAGAACUGAGUUUCAGAUGAUUGGCCAGUACGAUGUGCGUCCCGCUGGAAUCAACUUCUAUUACCUUGAGCCCAAUACAGAAGAAGUCCUAGGGUAUGGCUCGAGGAAGUACCUAGUCACAGUGAGACCAGAGCCAGCUAUCUACGAUUGCGAAUGUUGCAAGUGGCAUAGGGACAGCAUGCUUUGUUGCCAUGUCUUGAAAAUCUUCACACACCUUGACGUUAAUGAGAUACCUGAACACUACAUCAAGCGCCGCUGGACGCAACAUGGAGUACCAAGUGCACCACCGCCACCUAACGAGGGCCCUCCGCAUGACUUGCCCGCUGAGUCAGAGAACCAAGUUCGGCAAGUGACUCUGACAAUGGAUUUUGCAAAGCUAGCCAAGAAGGCAAUGACUAGUGAUGAGGCAGCCGCUGCAGAUAGGAGGCACAUGAAAGCAGCAGAUACUGAGGUUACUAAGCUGAAUAAACUGAGGAAGAAGAGGCUAAAGGCAGCCCGGGAAGCGGCUCGUGCUAGGGAAGCAUCAAACCCUAAUGCCCCAAGUACUUCAAACCAACCUCCUGCCCCCUUGCUCCUAUGGAUCCACCUCGUUCAGUCACGAAAGGGCGCAGCCGCAGCAAGCACUUCAAAUCAGCCCUGGAACUACACCCUAAGAAAAAGAACAAGUGCAGCAUUUGUGAAUCAAUCGAUCACACUGCUGCAACGUGCCUAG